rnacentral:rRNA from 1 species
ACGCCGCGUGAGUGAUGAAGGUUUUCGGAUCGUAAAACUCUGUUGUCAGGGAAGAACAAGUACGAGAGUAACUGCUCGUACCUUGACGGUACCUGACCA